UACGGAGGGGACUAGCGUUGUUCGGAAUUACUGGGCGUAAAGCGCACGUAGGCGGAUUUGUAAGUCAGGGGUGAAAUCCCCAGGCUCAACCUGGGAACUGCAUUCGAGACUGCAUAGCUAGAGUAUGGGAGAGGGAAGUGGAAUUUCAGGUGUAGCGGUGAAAUGCGUAGAUAUCUGAAGGAACAUCAGUGGCGAAAGCGACUUCCUGGACCAAUACUGACGCUCAUGUGCGAAAGCGUGGGGAGCAAACAGG
rnacentral:rRNA from 1 species